UCGUGUCACCCAAGUCAUUUAAAAAUAUUUAUAUUGGCAGCAGAAGUGGAUAGAAGUUGAAGUCAUAGAAGUGUAAUCAUGUCAUCAAAGUGUUCAUGAACAUUCAUUCUUUCGAAACAGAUCAGAUCAGUUACUAAAAACUAAUAAUCACACAGCCAAGCAACAUAAUUCACUAUUUGACCCUAUGAUUGCAGGUUGUCUCAUUGCACAUCCUCCCUAAUGUUGACAUUUUGGACACACCGUCUCGGAGAAUAAAAACACAGAGGCCUCCCAGCAAAACGGCUUGAACCAUAUUUUCUUCAAAGUGAACCGAACAGUGAGGUCAUGGAUUAUUAGACAACACAGCACCAUCUAGUGUGUGGAUGUAGCACACCAUCCACUUCAUGAGGGCCUCGACUGAAAGGGGUCGCUAGGCACGCAGCACACCUUUUCGCCCAAGAGUCCGUCCUGUGUCCAGCAACAACCGGUCCAUCAAUAAUCCAGCGAUCAGUUGUCCAGGCAACCACACUGACUACUGUCGGGCUACGUCUACAGUGCACUGGGGUUAGGAUGAAAGUGCCUAGAGGGGUCCAUGCAAAUCAUUCGCUGCACCUGUCUGCAUGCACAUCAUCACAGACCCAGGCUUCAGAACAGACUCCCUCACUUGCCGUCAGGUGCGCAACACCACGUAAAUCGUUGGCCAAUCAAAAAGCAACCCCAUAACGCUAUAGCCAACAUUCACCAGGAGAUGGCAACAGACAACAUAGAUCACUCUAUUACAGACGGCGUCACCAUGGCUGUAACUUCCUUGUUCUUCUGCUUCGUCUCCUUGUCUGCAUGAAGCUGGAAGGGGCGUGUCCUCCAGCUCCGACUGAAUUUUGGGAGAUUUUCUGGAGAAAAUUUCUUCCGGGAGGUUUUCAGGAGAAGCACUGAAUUUCGGGAGUCUCCCGGAAAAUCCGCGAGGGUUGGCAAGUAUCUUUAAGAUGGACUGAUGCAAAGUGGAAAAGUGUUCUGUGGUCUGACGAGUCCACAUUUCAAAUUGUUUUUGGAAAUAUUCGACAUUGUGUCAUCCGGACCAAAGGGGAAGUGAACCAUCCAGACUGUUAUCGACGCAAAGUUCAAAAGCCAGCAUCUGUGAUGUGAAGUAGAGAAUGGGAUGACACACGAAGAGCGAGCAGCGUGGCGUGCUGGCCCGCCUCGCCGACAGAAAACGUGAUCGUGACUGGCAGGCCCGACGCAGCCGAGAAGGGACGGGGAGGGACGGCAAGGCCAUAGACAAGAGCUGCAGGAGUAAUGCAUGUCACAUCGAUGAGGCCACGGCAAGACAAGUCGGGAUCAAGCAAGUGUUCAUUCGUGGCUGUCUCUCUCUCACUCUCGCUGACAUCAACUACCCCCUUCUCCUUCCCGACUGCUGCCUUUAACAGAGCGACAGGUCCGAAAUUUAUGUCUACAAAGAUUUGCAUCAGCCUGCGACACAUAUACAAGAUGGUGCCGCCCCGUGGCUGACGUCUUUGCGUGGUCCUCCCGACAACAGCUACGUUUUUUAUUUAUUACAGUCCUAAUUUGCAUCCUAAAUGCAAAGUUUUUGCACGCAACCGUGAGAUAUAACAGAGAUGCACUUCUGGACAUCGGAAAAGCUCACCAUGAGCAAAUUUAUAGUCUGACGGACUUCAACUUUCUUCUACGACGAUACCGCACUAACCCCAGCCAGACCAAAACAACAACAGGGCGGCGAGGCAAGAGAGCGGGGCUACAUGCUAGGCUAAAUGCUAGAGCUACACGACCACCACUACAUAGCCUGCUGCUAGCUAACGUGCGCUGGCUCGACAACAAUCUGGAUGAGCUGAGAACCAGGAUUACAUCCCAGCGUGAACUGAGAGAAUGCUGUGCUCUGGCUGUCGGACAGAAUCACAGACUCCGCUAUCCAACUAGCAAGGCACUCAGUCUACCGUGGAGACCGGACAAUGGCUUCAAGAAAGGCGAGAGGCGGCGGCGUCUAUGUUUACGUGAGUAACAGCUGGUGCACGGACGUACAGGUGGUUGAAAGACACUGCUCGGACAACAUUGCGUUUUUGAUGGUGAAAUGCAGACCCUUUUACCUGCCAAGGGAGUUCAGUGCAGUGUUUAUACUGUCUGUUUACAUCUCGCCACGGGCGGACUCCACUACAGCGCUGAAGCUGCUGCAUGACAUCAUCAGGACACAAGAGACCGUGCACACCGAUGCUGCGUUCAUGGUAGCUGGGGAUUUUAACCACCGCAACCUAUAGAGUAACCCUCCCGAAAUACCAUCAAUAUGUGAACUUUCCUACAAGGGAGAAAAACACUCUGGACCAGGUGUACUGCAACGUGAGGGGAGCCUACAAGGCUGUACCCAGACCACACUUUGGACUAUCUGAUCACAUCUCAGCUUUUCUAUAUCCAGCGUACAGACAGCGCCUCAAGCAAGCCCCCCAGUGAGUACUACUGAACUACUGCUUCAGGACUGCUUUGGGAGUAGUGACUGGGACAUGUUCAAAACUACUGCUCAGAGGGAUGAUGGUACUGUGGACAUAGAGGAAGUGAAGUAAAGUGAAGUAUUUAUAUAGCGCUUUUUCUCUAGUGACUCAAAGCGCUUUACAUAG